rnacentral:tRNA from 1 species
UGGGGUGUAGCUCAGUGGUAGAGCGCUUGCCUAUAGCGUGGACAAGGCCCUGGGUUUGAUCCCCAGCACUGCAA